GAUGAACGCUGGCGGCGUGCCUAAUACAUGCAAGUCGAGCGAACGGACGAGAAGCUUGCUUCUCUGAUGUUAGCGGCGGACGGGUGAGUAACACGUGGAUAACCUACCUAUAAGACUGGGAUAACUUCGGGAAACCGGAGCUAAUACCGGAUGAUAUUUUGAACCGCAUGGUUCAAAAGUGAAAGACGGUCUUGCUGUCACUUAUAGAUGGAUCCGCGCUGCAUUAGCUAGUUGGUAAGGUAACGGCUUACCAAGGCAACGAUGCAUAGCCGACCUGAGAGGGUGAUCGGCCACACUGGAACUGAGACACGGUCCAGACUCCUACGGGAGGCAGCAGUAGGGAAUCUUCCGCAAUGGGCGAAAGCCUGACGGAGCAACGCCGCGUGAGUGAUGAAGGUCUUCGGAUCGUAAAACUAUGUUAGUAGGGAAGAACAUAUGUGUAAGUAACUGUGCACAUCUUGACGGUACCUAAUCAGAAAGCCACGGCUAACUACGUG
rnacentral:rRNA from 1 species